rnacentral:rRNA from 1 species
CUGAGUGCGGCGUGCUAUACAUGCAAGUCGAGCGGACAGAAGGGAGCUUGCUCCCGGAUGUUAGCGGCGGACGGGUGAGUAACACGUGGGUAACCUGCCUGUAAGACUGGGAUAACUCCGGGAAACCGGAGCUAAUACCGGAUAGUUCCUUGAACCGCAUGGUUCAAGGAUGAAAAGACGGUUUCGGCUGUCACUUACAGAUGGACCCGCGGCGCAUUAGCUAGUUGGUGAGGUAACGGCUCACCAAGGCGACGAUGCGUAGCCGACCUGAGAGGGUGAUCGGCCACACUGGGACUGAGACACGGCCCAGACUCCUACGGGAGGCAGCAGUAGGGAAUCUUCCGCAAUGGACGAAAGUCUGACGGAGCAACGCCGCGUGAGUGAUGAAGGUUUUCGGAUCGUAAAGCUCUGUUGUUAGGGAAGAACAAGUGCAAGAGUAACUGCUUGCACCUUGACGGUACCUAACCAGAAAGCCACGGCUAACUACAUGCCAACAGCCGCGGUA